ACUCCUACGGGAGGCAGCAGUGGGGAAUAUUGGACAAUGGGAACCGUAGCAUCAGCCAUGCCGCGCUCGUGUGAAGAAGGCCUUAUGGUUGUAAAGCACUUUAAGCGAGGAGGAGGCUACUGAGACUAAUACUCUUGGAUAGUGGACGUUACUCGCAGAAUAAGCACCGGCUAACUCUGUGCCAGCAGCCGCGGUAAUACAGAGGGUGCGAGCGUUAAUCGGAUUUACUGGGCGUAAAGCGUGCGUAGGCGGCCAUUUAAGUCAAAUGUGAAAU
rnacentral:rRNA from 1 species